rnacentral:rRNA from 1 species
UAGGGAAUCUUCCGCAAUGGGCGAAAGCCUGACGGAGCAACGCCGCGUGAGUGAUGAAGGUCUUCGGAUCGUAAAACUCUGUUAUUAGGGAAGAACAAAUGUGUAAGUAACUAUGCACGUCUUGACGGUACCUAAUCAGAAAGCCACGGCUAACUACGUGCCAGCAGCCGCGGUAAUACGUAGGUGGCAAGCGUUAUCCGGAAUUAUUGGGCGUAAAGCGCGCGUAGGCGGUUUUUUAAGUCUGAUGUGAAAGCCCACGGCUCAACCGUGGAGGGUCAUUGGAAACUGGAAAACUUGAGUGCAGAAGAGGAAAGUGGAAAUCCAUGUGUAGCGGUGAAAUGCGCAGAGAUAUGGAGGAACACCAGUGGCGAAGGCGACUUUCUGGUCUGUAACUGACGCUGAUGUGCGAAAGCGUGGGGAUCAAACAGG